GACCCCAGGUCAGGCGGGGCUACCCGCUGAGU
rnacentral:rRNA from 1 species